rnacentral:rRNA from 1 species
GACGAACGCUGGCGGCGUGCUUAACACAUGCAAGUCGAACGGAAAGGCCCUGCUUUUGUGGGGUGCUCGAGUGGCGAACGGGUGAGUAACACGUGAGUAACCUGCCCUUGACUUUGGGAUAACUUCAGGAAACUGGGGCUAAUACCGGAUAGGAGCUCCUGCUGCAUGGGGGGGGUUGGAAAGAUUCGGCGGUUGGGGCUGGACUCGCGGCUUAUGAGCUUGUUGGGGGGGUAGUGGCUGACCAAGCCUUUGACGGGUAGCCGGCCUGGGAGGGUGACCGGCCACAAUGGGACUGAGAUACGGCCCAGACUCCUACGGGAGGCAGCAGUGGGGAAUAUUGCACAAUGGGCGGAAGCCUGAUGCAGCAACGCCGCGUGCGGGAUGACGGCCUUCGGGGUGUAAACCGCUUUCGCCUGUGACGAAGCGUGAGUGACGGUAAUGGGUAAAGAAGCACCGGCUAACUACGUG